rnacentral:rRNA from 1 species
GACGAACGCUGGCGGCGUGCCCAAUACAUGCAAGUUGAGCGAUGAAGAUUGGUGCUUGCACCAAUUUGAAGAGCAGCGAACGGGUGAGUAACGCGUGGGGAAUCUGCCUUUGAGCGGGGGACAACAUUUGGAAACGAAUGCUAAUACCGCAUAACAACUUUAAACAUAAGUUUCAAGUUUGAAAGAUGCAAUUGCAUCACUCAAAGAUGAUCCCGCGUUGUAUUAGCUAGUUGGUUAGGUAAAGGCUCACCAAGGCGAUGAUACAUAGCCGACCUGAGAGGGUGAUCGGCAACAUUGGGACUGAGACACGGCCCAAACUCCUACGGGAGGCAGCAGUAGGGAAUCUUCGGCAAUGGACGAAAGUCUGACCGAGCAACGCCGCGUGAGUGAAGAAGGUUUUCGGAUCGUAAAACUCUGUUGGUAGAGAAGAACGUAGGUGAGAGUGAAAAGCCCAUCAAGUAACGGUAACAACCCAGAAAGGAACGGCUAACUACGU